rnacentral:rRNA from 1 species
ACGAACGCUGGCGGCGUGCUUCACACAUGCAAGUCGAACGGAAAGGCCCUGCUUGCCGGGUACUCGAGUGGCGAACGGGUGAGUAACACGUGGGUGAUCUGCCCUGCACUUCGGGAUAAGCCUGGGAAACUGGGUCUAAUACCGGAUAGGAGCCAUUUUUAGUGUGAUGGUUGGAAAGUUUUUUCGGUGUAGGAUGAGCUCGCGGCCUAUCAGCUUGUUGGUGGGGUAAUGGCCUACCAAGGCGGCGACGGGUAGCCGGCCUGAGAGGGUGGACGGCCACAUUGGGACUGGGAUACGGCCCAGACUCCUACGGGAGGCAGCAGUGGGGAAUAUUGCACAAUGGGCGCAAGCCUGAUGCAGCGACGCCGCGGGGGGGAUGACGGCCUUCGGGUUGGAAACUCCUUUCGCUAGGGACGAAGCUUUUUGUGACGGUACCUAGAGAAGAAGCACCGGCUAACUACGUG